rnacentral:lncRNA from 1 species
CAUAUAUCAAUUUUCGCUUCGUUUGUCAUUCAUCAAAACCUAUACAAAAGAACACACGUUUUAGUAUAUUGCAUUGAGAACGUGUUUCCAACAGUCUGGAGAGGUUCAGCAGACUUUCACCUCUGACUUUUAGUGGUGUUCCAGGCGAGGAUGCCUAGGGGUUUCUCGACAAGUGUCGACGCAUGCUCAGGACAUUCGGGAUUGCAGCCUUUACCUGGUGGGAGGAAUAUGAGCGGCAUAGGCCGACAGGUGCAGCACCGUUGUCUUGGCAGGAGUUCUCCACUUUCUUUUUGGAGAAGUGGGUACCAAGGUCAUAGAGGGAGGAGUUACGUAGGCAGUUUGAGAUGCUUCGCCAGGGGGAUAUGUCUAUGACGUAGUAUGACAUGAGAUUUGCAGAGUUAGCUCGUUAUGCUCCGUGGAUGGUCCAGACGUAUCAGGAGAGGAUUAGACGAUUUGUGGACGGGCUCAUUUAUACCAUUUGUUUCUGAUGACUCGAGAGAGGUUCCUGAGUCAUACCCUCGAGAAGGCGUUUGAUAUAGCUCGGGAUAUUGAGACGGCUCGCCGUCAGGAGCGAGAGGAGAGGGAAUCAAAGAGGCCUCGAGGUUUAGGCAGUUAUGGUGGCGUUUAGUCUAGGGGCCAGUUUCAUCAGGGCAGAGGUCGUUCUUUUUGGCCUCCUCAGUCACGAUGCCCAGAGUACAGUGGAGCUUUUUCUGGUCGUGGCCGUCAGGGUCACCAGCAGAGCCAGUCUUCACUCAGUACCUCCCAGCGCAGAGUU